rnacentral:lncRNA from 1 species
UAAAAGUCAGGUCGGAUUAAGCCAUAGUACGGGAAAAACUAUGCUACCUGUGAGCCCCGUCCAAGGACGUUAAAAGAAGUCAGGCCAUCACAAAUGCCACAGCUKKAGUAAACUGUGCAGCCUGUAGCUCCACCUGAGAAGGUGUAAAAAAUCUGGGAGGCCACAAACCAUGGAAGCUGUACGCAUGGCGUAGUGGACUAGCGGUUAGAGGAGACCCCUCCCUUACAAAUCGCAGCAACAACGGGGG